GCUUUUUUGAAGAUGAAUUGAGAGACCAGAUCUAGGAGAUAAGCUCUUUGAUUCUACCAAUUUGAGGUAUGUGAUUUUGUAUUUUGAAUCUAUUGAUUGAAAUUAUUUCUAUGCUAGUAGUUAUCUGAUCUCAAAUCUAAGAAGAAUCGUGUUGAGAACUUCUUAAUCACACCUUAACUUCUCAUGAAUUUGGCAUAUGUUAGAAGAGAAGUAUUUGUGUUUUAUGCAGAUUCAUUGUUCAUAUGCCAAACAUUAAUGGGAUGACCAAGUUCAUUCAAAAGAGAAUGAAUUAGAUCAAUUAGAUCUGACACUAUGUUCUUUAUAGGAUUUUAUUCAUUUUAUUUUUCUUAGUUCUUCUUCAAAACCAAAAGACAUGAUAUUUUCUGCAUUAGAAUGAAAAAGAUUGGGAUUUGUGUGUUUGUGCAUGUUGGUAUAUCUGCUCUUAAAAUAAAUAAUAAACUUGUGCACAGGAGAAAACAUAAAGUAAGAUUCAUUUUAUUUGGUAUUUAACCUAACUAUUGAAUUUUAUGUAUUUGAUCGAUUCUAUAUUGGGUUGGUUGUUGUAAUACCCCAGAAAUUCGUUAUUAUUUUUUUAGAAUUUUUCAGAAUUUAUUCGAUGAUUAUUAGGACGAGCAUGUAGUUCGGAGAUGAUGUGGAAGUAUUUCAGACGAAUAAUUACUCGAAACAUUUUAUUUUCGAGGGGUCAAAAAGGUUGACUUUUUGUUUGUAGGAUUUCUCUAUUGACUUCCUUCAUAAAAGUUGUAGAGCGCGUCAAUACGAGUUCGUGGAUAUGUGGAACACGAAAAUGGGAGUUAGUAUGAGAAAGUUAUGAAAUUCAUAAGUUGUUAUUUUUGGAAACUUCCGAAAAUAGAAAGUCAGAAAAGCUCCGUUCUCUCUCCUCAAUAUUUUUUUUCAUUCCGUGGCUGUAUCGUACCUAAUGUGUUUUAGAUACCCUUAUUAGUAUCAUUUGGAGCAAAAGAUACAUAAAAAAUUCUAUGUACUAUGAGGCUUUUUCUAGUAGUGACUCGACCAAUUACUGGUUGAAGCAGGUAAGCCUUUUAGGCAGCUGACUUAACCUUUUCAUGCAGAAAUGUAGCCAGACGAUGAGAGAUCCAACCGGGUUGGAUUUGGCCUGAAAACAAGUUAGUAGUUUUUGGAUCGGAGUAGUAGGUUUUUGGUUCACCCAUAAAUAGCUUUUGAUUUACCGGUAGUAACAUUUUUAUUCACUAGAAUAGCUUUUUAAAAGAUAACAGUAACUUUUCUGGAGAAUGAAGAAAUUUUUUACUAUAGUUAUUUUCUACAUGCAAUGACAGUUUCAUAAAUGAUAC
rnacentral:lncRNA from 1 species